CCAGCAGCACCAUGCCACCCACCCCGAGUAUCCCCUGGGCACCCUGGCAUAGCCAGAUGACUUCCGUGCCCCUGUUGCAAUAACCACUGCUUCCAAGUCUCUGUAGACCACCCCUUGGGUAUAUCUCAUGUUACCAUGCCAGCAAUGAUUCCUUUUGAGUUUCUGACAGAAGAUAGUGGUUUUCAUCCAAAUAAGUCAACUACUCUACCCCAUCCCUAAGCCACUUGUAUGGAAAGAAAAAGAGGAAGAAGCCAGUACUGUGACUGCGUAAGCUUCCCCCAGCAUCACCGGCUAUGAGAUGUGUGGCAGCUGAGACCCGGGAACUGCUCAAGGGCACCAGGCCCCAUCUGUCUGCACUCACUCACCUUCCUCAGGUACUCGCAUGGGCAUGUCACUGACUUUACAUGCUGCUGCAGCUCCUUGGUGAGCUGGCCCUGGUCAUGGGACAGGAACUGUGGGGUCAGGACAAUAGAGAGCUUCACCAUUUGCAGAAUGAGAACAGGGGCUCAUGAUGAGUGCCAACCUAU